UCAAUGGGCGAAAGCCUGACGGAGCAAGACCGCGUGAGGGAAGAAGGUCUGUGGAUUUGUAAACCUCUUUUGAUAGGGAAGAAGUUCUGACGGUACCUAUCGAAUCAGCCUCGGCUAACUCCGUGCCAGCAGCCGCGGUAAUACGGAGGAGGCAAGCGUUAUCCGGAAUUAUUGGGCGUAAAGCGUCCGUAGGUGGAUGUUCAAAGUCUUCUGUCAAAGCGCGGAGCUUAACUCCGUAAAGGCAGAGGAAACUGAGCGUCUAGAGUGCGAUAGGGGGCAAGGGGAAUUCCCAGUGUAGCGGUGAAAUGCGUAGAUAUUGGGAAGAACACCGGUGGCGAAAGCGCCUUGCUGGGUCUGCACUGACACUGAGGGACGAAAAGCUAGGGGAGCGGAAGGGAUUAGAUACCCCUGUAGUCCUAGCUGUAAACGAUGGGUACUAGGCGUUGUCCGUAUCGACCCGGGCAGUGCCGUAGCUAACGCGUUAAGUACCCCGCCUGGGGAGUACGCUCGCAAGAGUG
rnacentral:rRNA from 1 species